rnacentral:lncRNA from 1 species
AAAUUCUUAAAUGGUAUGCAUAAACUUACUUAAGUCUUCACUUAACUAAGGAAUACUUAAAUCGGAACCUUUCUCUAGUUACCGAAUAAUAUAUAUUAGCUCAUCACAUGUACUCAUCCGUGUAAAAGUUUGUUAUGAUUAUUUAAAUUUAUUGAUCAACGCAUGCUUUUAUUUUAAAGAGCUGGGAUUAAAUUGAUAUAGGUAUGUAAAACAAUUCAAUAGAACGUAACGUAGUAUAAUGAUAACAAUUGGCGCAUAUAAGACAACGCUUUUUAUGGUUGAUGUUUUGACGGUUGAGCAUUGGAAGAAAAAUAUUUCAGUAAUCCAAAACUUUCCUCUACUUAAUCUUUAAUUAUCUUUCAUGGUUGUAAUAUUUUCUGGAGACAAUAUAUUUUAAACGCUAUUAAACAAGAUCAAGGUUUCAGUGGCGUAGCA